rnacentral:rRNA from 1 species
UACAGAGGUCCCAAGCGUUGUUCGGAUUCAUUGGGCGUAAAGGGUGCGUAGGCGGCGCGGUAAGUCGGGUGUGAAAUCUCGGGGCUUAACUCCGAAACUGCAUUCGAUACUGCCGUGCUUGAGGACUGGAGAGGAGACUGGAAUUUACGGUGUAGCGGUGAAAUGCGUAGAUAUCGUAAGGAAGACCAGUGGCGAAGGCGACUUCCUGGCCUGUUCUUGACGCUGAGGCGCGAAAGCUAGGGGAGCAAACGGG